GACAGAGGGUGCAGACGUUGCUCGGAAUCACUGGGCGUAAAGGGCGCGUAGGCGGACAAGUAAGUCGGGCGUGAAAUCCCUAGGCUCAACCUAGGAACUGCACUCGAAACUGCAUGUCUUGAGUACCGGAGAGGAAAGCGGAAUACCUGGUGUAGAGGUGAAAUUCGUAGAUAUCAGGUGGAACACCAGUGGCGAAGGCGGCUUUCUGGACGGUAACUGACGCUGAGGCGCGAAAGCGUGGGGAGCAAACAGG
rnacentral:rRNA from 1 species